GUGGAAUGCUGGAGCCAGCUUGCACAGGCUAACAAGAAUGAAGUAUGAACUUGUCUUCCCAACUGUUCAUUCAGUGACAUCACAUGAUAGAUUGAAAUCAGCUGUCAUGGGACUUUGUUCACCAAGGUAAUCAUCAACCGCUAUAAACCAAGGCCUUUUAUCUCCCUGGAAAGCUAAUGAUUGGACAUUUACCAGCAGACCACUGGAGGUAUGCUGGAAUAUCUCUGCUGGACCCCUGGACUUCACAAAGCUACCUGUAUGGAAUGACUGAGAGACCCCAGCAGAGCUGGUCUCAAGCCAACGGGGACACAAGCAAAACCCCACAUCCCUGUAAAGUCUCUGUGCCCCGGCAUCUCCCCUGAGAUCCACAUUCUCCAUCACUGGGCUGCCAAGUAAAUGAAACAGACACUUGGUCUUUCUGGAGAAAUAUGAUCAAUACAAUGAAUACCUACCUUCCAGAAGCUCAAUUUGCUGAUGAACCAGUAUCUGAUCUAUCUAUUAUAGUAAAAAAAAAAAAAAAAAGCUGUAAGUAUAUUUCCAUGUUUUCUAUGCCAACUAAAUUAACAAUAGUGUUUUUAUAUUUUAAGAA